rnacentral:SRP_RNA from 1 species
GUGCAAGAGCGGUUUUUGAAGACGUUCAGGGUAGGAAGCCAGCAGCCA